CCUAAAAAGGCCAAAGACUUGGUCAAGACGAGACUUCAACAGAAAGCUCAAGCUGAAAACCGGGCCAGGGAAAAGACAUUACACAACUCACUUACACAAGGGGAGACAUGCUAACCAUCGAGGAGGCUACUCCGGACUUUCUUUCAAAAACUUUCGCAAAUCCCCGAGUUACGUCCACAGUCUUUGGUGCAUGGAGGCGAAGGCGAUGCCACAGAGGGAAGCGAGCCGGCAUCCAGGUGAAACUCCGCAAGAGAGGAUACAGGGCCACAUGAGGGAUGAGAAGAGGGGAAACUGGGCGGAUCCGUAACACCUCCCUGAUGGUGGCCUCAAGAUAAGGCAGACUGCCUCUGUCGCUGAGCAGGGGGCUCCGCUCUCCCUCUAACUUGGUGUCCAUCUCCUCCUGUAUACGUUUCUGCACCUGAACACAGACUUAGACUAUCUUUAUGGAAACAUGUCACUGACAUAAUGCAUUCACUCGAAAUUUAGCCUUAGAGCGAACCAUCAACCUAACAAGAUUUCAUAAUCUGACAACAACAGAAGUUAACCGGCCUAAACGUACAAUUUUACAUGAUGCAUCUUUGUAAUGUGAUAUAUGAGCUGCGUGAAGUGAAAGAAAGCAGCCUAUUUUUUUUCUUUUUUUGCAGAAAUAUAUAAUAAUAUAAAAAGUGACCUAUCCUAAAGUGUGUAAUCUGCAUUUUACCAAAUACAGUUUUGGAUUUGGUCAAGUGCUAUAGCAUUUUUACAGUAGUCCAGAAACAUUAACAAAAUUGUAAAUCUGAAAUUACAUUUAUUAACACCAACUGUAACGCUCAUUUACAGAUCUAAUGUAAAGCGAGGAAGUGAUUGUCCACUUAAAAGACUGUAGCCUAACAACCAAUGAAAACGUUUUCUGAGGAUCUCUCCUGCCCAACAGAAAUGCCAAAUUUAAAUUCUUCCACUUUUGACCACACCCCCUCCAUUCACUUUGUAGUGAAGAUGAGCAACAACACACAAUAACAGAAAGAUAAGCAGAUUGUAGUCACGAACCAGGUGUUGGGGUAAAAAAAAAAAAAAAAAAAAAAAAAUUAAAUUAAAAAAAAAGGUAUUCUCUCACGUUACCUAGUCUGAUUGAUGAAUGAAAGUCAAAAUUGGUUGGAUUGAAUGUUUAUGCUGUGUGAGAGAAAGCACAACUGAGCGUUCCUCAUGGAUGCUGUGACUGUUCACAAACUGAAGAGUAGUUGGUAUACCUAAGCAAUAUUUGUACAAAAAUUUGUGUUCAUAAACGGAGUUGUUCGCGUGCUGAGGUUUCACUGUAGUAAGUUAUUUGGAUGAGUCAUGUUGAGGGAAGGGGGACCGGAGGGUAUGUUCCAACUACAGGGGAAUUACACUCCUCAGCCUCCCUGGUAAGGUCUAUUCAGGGGUGCUGGAGAGGAGGGUCCGUUGGGAAGUCAGAUUCAGGAGGAGCAGUGUGGUUUUCAUCCUGGCUGUGGAACAGUGGACCAGCUCUACACCCUUGGCAGGGUCCUCGAGGGUGCAUGGGAGUUCGCCCAACCAGUCUACAUGUGUUUUGUGGACGGAGAAGGCGUUCGACCGUGUCCCUCAGGGAGUCCUGUGGGGGGUGCUUCGGGAGUAUGGGGUACCGCACCCCCUGAUAGGAGCUGUUCGGUCCCUGUACGACCGGAGUCAGAGUUUCGUCCGCAUAUCCGGCAGUAAAUUCCGGUGAGGGUUGGAAUCCGCCAAGGCUGCCCUUUGUCACUGAUUCUGUUCAUAACUUUUAUGGUCCUCAAUCGGAAAAGGGUGACCUGCCCUCGGGGAUGAGAUCCUGCCCCAAAGUGGAGGAGUUCAACUAUCUUGGGGUCUUGUUCAUGAGUGAGGGAAGAAUGGAAUGGGAGAUCGACAGGCGGAUCGGUACAGCGUCUGCAGUGAUGCAGACUUUGUAUCGAUCCGUUGUGAUAAAGGAGCUAAGCCGAAAGGCGAAGCUCCCAAUUUACCGGUCGAUCUACGUGCCUACCCUCACCUAUGGUCACGAGCUGUGGGUCGUGACUGAAAGAACAAGAUCCUCUGGGAUCCUCCGGAGGAUCCUCCGGGAUCUUGUUCUUGUACAAGCGGCCGAAAUGAUUUUCCUCCGCAGGGUGUCUCUCCCUUAGAGAGGGGGUGAGAAUCUCGGUCAUCCGGGAGGAUCUCAGAGUAGAGCCGCUGCUCCUCCACAUCAAGAGGAGCCAGAUGAGGUGGCUGGGGCAUCUGAUUCGGAUUCCUCCCGGACGCCUCCCUGGUGAGGUGUUCCGGGCACGUCCCACCGGGAGGAGACCCCGGGGACGACCCCGAUACACGCUGGAGAGAACGCCUCGGGAUUCCCCCGGAAGAGCUGGAUGAAGUGGCUGGGGAGAGAGAAGUCUGGGUGUCCCUGUUAAAGCUACUGCCCCAGCGACCUGACCUCUGAUAAGUGAUUUCUUCGAAUGCUGUUGUCUCCAUGAGGCUGAUAUCCUCUCAAGGCUUAUAUAGACAGGUGUGUGCCAUUCCAAAUGAUGUCCAGUCAACUGAAUUUACCACAGGUGGACUCCAUUCAAGUUGUAGAAGCAUCUCAAGGAUGAUCAGUGGAAAUCAGAUGGAUCUGAGCGUAAACUUUGAUUGUCAUAGUAAAGAUAGAGUUUCCACAGCAUCAGAGGGAUCUCAUUGUUCAAAGGUACCAGUCAGGAGAAGAGUACAAAAGAAUUUCCAAGUGGAGAAAAUAUGGCGCACCAACAUUGCCAAGAACAGGACGUCCCACCAACAUUAAUGAAAAGAUGACAAGAAAACUGGCCAGGGAGGCUGCCAAUAGGCCAACAGCAACAUUGAGGGAGCUGCUGGAAUCUCUGGCAAGUAUUCGCUCUCUCUUCUCUCUCUACACGAACGACUGCACCUGUCAAACACCUGAAGUCUGCAGACGACAACACAGUCAUUGGCCUCAUCAAAGACGGUGACGAGUCUGCGUAUAUCGAUAAGAAGUGGAGCGGCUGGAGCUGUGGUGCGGUCGACACAACCUGCAGCUGAACACGCUCAAGACUGUAGAGAUACUCGUGGACUUCUGGAGGCAUCCUUCGCAGUUCCUGGGAAUUACAGUCUCUCAGGACCUGAAGUGGAAGAUCAACAUCAACUCCAUCCUCAAAAAGGCCCAGCAGAGGAUGUACUUCCUGUGGCUUCUGAGGAAGCAUGGCCUGCCACAAGAGCUGUUGAGGCAGUUCUACACAGCAGUCAUCGAAUCAGUCCUGUGUUCUUGCAUCACAGUCUGGUUUGGUGCUGUUACAAAAAAGGACAAACGCCGACUGCAACGCACAAUUAAAACGGCUGAAAAGAUUGUCGGUACCCCCCCCCCAAUCACCCUCCCAUCCAUGAGGACUUGCACGCUGCAAAAUCCUAUUGGACUCUCCACAUCCUGGUCAUCACCUCUUCCAGCUCCUUCCCUCAGGCUGUCUUUGGCAACAGUGUCCACGAUCCCCUGGCUGUAAAGAAGUAGGGCCUCAAACUCAGGGUCUCCAAUGGAGUAUGUGGAGUUGAAACAGAGUGAACAGAUGACAUUGGUGACAACCCGCGUCAGAUCGGGAGAAAAGUCCACAGAAUCCUCAGCAGCAGAUUUUUCUGACAUGAUGGAGCAAAGAGACUGGGCCUGUGAGCAGACUGAGAAGGAGGAGGAGGAGAAUGCAUUAGAGCUGUCUUUUAUUAAUGGGAACAUUUCAUAGAACUGCUUGAUUUUUUACACAAGUAAACACACUGUCACUGUUUGAAAUGUAAAAUGCAGCCUCCAACGAUGACAUUUGCUCCGGCUUACGUAAUGUCUGUUAAAAAAAAUACUUUUUAAGUUCACACUCAACUACACCACCCACAAAAGGUACACCUCCACAUGAAUGGAAACUGUAUCAAAAAUGUUAAAUA